UGAAGCACCCCUCAAUGGAACAUCGAUUUGAAGCUCUUCGUCAACGACUCUAAAUCUGAUUUCUACUUUGGUUUAUCUCUUGUUGUGGCCUUCUGAGUAUAUAUAUAUCCUGAAAAUAUAUUAAUGGAGCGCAGAGAUAUUCAAUCUCCUCAAGGUGAAACAGCCCGGAUUUUGGUUGAAUUCUUGGAAGUAGCCAUCUCUUCUAUUGUCUUCCUCAAAGGUGUCUACCCUGCCGGCGCAUUCGAGAGAAGGAGAUAUAUGAAUGUGGUGGUUCAGAGGGCUCGCCACCCUCAGCUCAGAGAUUACAUCCAUUCUGCUGUUUCUGCUCUUCUUCCUUUUAUCCAAAAGGGAUUGGUGGAGAGAGUAGCAGUUAUUUUUUUCGACAUUGACUGCAUCCCGGUGGAAAGAUUUGUGUUCAAGCUCACUGUGAACCAGUCUUAUGGAUCAAAGUUGGAAGAAGCUGACCUGGAGUUCUCUCUUAGAUCAUUCUUGAUCAAGCUCUCAGUCUCAGAAUCCCUUACUAGGGUUCUUCCCCAUGACUGUAGGUGGGAGAUAACUGCUUACUUUCGAUCCCUUCCUCAGGCUAGUACAAGCAAGGAUGCAGAGCUAUGGAUCCCAUCGGACACAAGGCUGUGGCAGCAACCUCCACUACUGACCCCUAUUAAGUCAAUGAAUAGCGAACCUCUGUGUGUGCAGUUAUAUCUAGAACAUCCUAGUUCAUGUGAACCAAAGCCUUGAAUGGUGAAAUAUAGCCAUUGCAUACAUGCACACUUACGUAGUCAGGAGUCACAAGUUGAGAUGCUUGACAUAACUGGAAGCUGAUGGAGAAUUCAAGCUCGCUUAACCUUGGGGGAUGCACAAAGCGAUUAGGAUGGUUCUGGCUUUUUUUCUUUGGUGGGUAUAUCCAAUCUGUCUUGAGUUUCUCGAUGGGAAAAAGUUUUGGCGCAAGAUUCAACGACAUUGACAGAGCUAUUUGUAUACUUACAGCAAUGUGCUACAACACAUAAUGCACAAUUAAGAAUUGCCUAAUACAAAGGAAUCGGAAAUAUUGGAAGAAGAAUUACGUUGAAAUGGUUUUCAAGGACUUAUGUCUAAAAUCUAGAUACUCAGUAUGUAAUGUGUUUGGUGUAGUUUGGAUUAUGCCUAGAAUGGUGAAAGAAUUGUUAAUGAGUUGGGGAGGUCAAGGCAGGUGUUGUGACAUUUUGGAAGUUUGGAGGUUGAUUCUUUUAUGUUAUGUUUACUGUAGUGUAAUUGAAGAGAGUAGAAUGCACGGAACUUUGAAGAUAGAGGAACAGCGAU